CAAAAUUUGUAUCCUCAGAUGAAAUGGAUUUGCAUCUUGUAAUGUGUUUAACAAAGCCACGAAUAACCUAUAAUGAGGAUGUACUGAGUAAAGAUGCUGGGGAAUGUGCAAUAUGCCUUGAAGAAUUGCAGCAGGGAGAUACUAUAGCACGACUGCCUUGUCUAUGCAUAUAUCAUAAAGGCUGCAUAGAUGAAUGGUUUGAAGUAAAUAGAUCUUGCCCUGAGCACCCUUCAGAUUAAGCGUCAGCUUCCUGUUUUAUAGGUUUUCUUGUCUUGACAAGAUGCUUGAAAAACCAAGAGGAUAUGAAAAUCUGUCUCUGGAGAAACAAAGACGCAGGCAUACUCAGCCAGAAAUCUGAGUUUUGUGAGACUUGGUAAUACAGAGAUGGACAAUCGUACUGGGGUAAAAAAACCCUGCUGAAGAGAGGACAGUGACCACAGAACUCAGUGUACCAAACAUGCAUACAAAGGACACACAGGGAUUUUGAAAAUGCUGCACAUCCCUUAAUAGUCAUCUACAUAGGUAAUACUGAUAAACAUUUUGUAUUCAGACGCCAAAGUUAACUGAUUUAAAAGUUGAUUUACUUUUUAUUAAGUUCUCCAGAGCUGCACAACUAGUUAUGUUUUGAUUUGUUUUGUUUUUUAAUUUGGGGUCUCUUUGUUUUCCCCAACAUAAUGUUCAUAAUGUUUCUGCAUUCAUCUGUUCUUAAAUUGAAAAACAUAUAAUUUACUUCUUAUAAAUUGAAGUCUUAAAUGUGAAACCAAGAAAUGUAAUCAAGCAGUAAAAACAU
rnacentral:lncRNA from 1 species